GAUCCUGGCUCAGGACGAACGCUGGCGGCGUGCCUAAUACAUGCAAGUCGAGCGAGCGGAACCAACAGAUUUACUUCGGUAAUGACGUUGGGAAAGCGAGCGGCGGAUGGGUGAGUAACACGUGGGGAACCUGCCCCUAAGUCUGGGAUACCAUUUGGAAACAGGUGCUAAUACCGGAUAAGAAAGCAGAUCGCAUGAUCAGCUUUUAAAAGGCGGCGUAAGCUGUCGCUAAGGGAUGGCCCCGCGGUG
rnacentral:rRNA from 1 species